UAUGCUUUUCUAUAUAUAAAAUUAUAUAAUUAUAUAUAAUUUUUAUUUAUUUGUUAUAUUAUAAAAUUAAAAUUAUAUUUUCAUAUUUAUAUUUAUAAUUAUAUCUUUAUAUAUUAAUUUUAUUUUUACGGAGGAUAUUUUCGAUAGUGUUUGUAUGCUUAUGUGAGAAUAAGAUUACUGGACUGAUAAAAUUUACGUAGAAUGGUAAUUUUACCCUUAAAUAUUUUAUGAAAUAUUUAAUAAAUAUUUNUAAAAUUAUAUAAUUAUAUAUAAUUUUUAUUUAUUUGUUAUAUUAUAAAAUUAAAAUUAUAUUUUCAUAUUUAUAUUUAUAAUUAUAUCUUUAUAUAUUAAUUUUAUCUCUAUUUUCAUACAUUGAAUUAAAUUUCAUAUAAUAUUCAAAGGUAAAAUUGUUAUUUUAUUUAACUUUUUAUCAAUCUAAUACCUCAUUCUAACAUAAACAUCUAAACACUAUCAGAAAUAUAUUACGAAAAUAAACAAAUAACAUCCAAACACGAAUUUAUCGUUGUUUUAGCUAAUGCCGAAAUAUUUCCUGUUCUUAGAAACAACAAAAACAAAAUUAUUCUGCAAAAUUUAGUUCUCGCGAAAAUGCAGGCUAAUAGUAUA
rnacentral:lncRNA from 1 species